rnacentral:tRNA from 1 species
AGCUUGGUGGCGCAGCGGAAGCGCGCCGGGCUCAUAACCCGGAGGUCGCUCGAUCGAAACGAGUUCAAGCUA